ensembl:snRNA U6 U6 spliceosomal RNA
GUGCUUGCUUCAGCAGCACAUAUCUAAAAUUAGAAUACAGAGAUUAGCCUGACCCCUGUGCAAAGAUGACAUGCAAAUUUGUGAAACAUUCCCUAUUUUU